GACGAACCGAGCAAGCGUUAUUCGGAAUCACUGGGCUUAAAGAGUCCGUAGGCGGCGCGUUAGGUGGGGUGUGAAAUCCCUCGGCCCAACCGAGGAAUGGCGCUCCAAACCGGCGUGCUUGAGGAAGGUAGAGGUGAGCGGAACUGAUGGUGGAGCGGUGAAAUGCGUUGAUAUCAUCAGGAACACCGGAGGCGAAGGCGGCUCACUGGGCCUUUUCUGACGCUGAGGGACGAAAGCCAGGGUAGCGAACGGG
rnacentral:rRNA from 1 species